UUCGAUUUUCAUGCACCACGUUUUUAGCGCUUGUUUCCGUAAUUUAAAUUCCCUGUAACAUUCAUUGAAAAAAGAAAUGUAACUUGAAAUGAUGACUUAAAUUUUCAUCCGCUUCAUUUCAUUCAAUCUAAAGGUGUAUAUUUUAGUCAAAAAGCCGCAAUGAUCAUUUUCACAUCUCCAUUGUUCUCACUUCUUAAUUGCCCAAAGGUAAUUAUCUCACUUCUUCGUUGUUCGAUCUCUUAAUUUUGCAGUCGAUUUCUUUAUUUUUUUCAAAUUAAUUUAAGGUUAGAUUGAAGUUAGUUUUGGAUUAGUUUAUGAUUUCCAUCAGUUGAUAAUUUUAGGGUUCCAAUCAGAGAUCUCUUCACCUUGCUCAACAGACACAUCGAACAAUCCGACUUCGAACAGGCUAUUAAAAUCGAAUAUCAAGGUCCAUUUUUCAUAUUUCAAUACUCUUUAAUUUUAUUAUCAUAAUAUUGAACAUUUAGCUCUCUUCUUUAAAUCAUCAGUAAGUUACCUUAUGAUCCUGAUGCAACUUUAAUUAGCUACUCAAUUUGAGCAACUUUAAAUAACGAACCCGAGCCUAGGAUAUUCCAAUAUUAGCUGACUUCAAUUAGAUUAAUAAAGCCUAGCUCACUGAUUUAAAAUUAUUAUUUAGCUCAACUGAUGGUUAAAACACAUUAAUGGAAAAAAAUAUAAGGUCUCCUUUAUCUGAUUUCAAAUGCAUCAAUCUACUCUUUUUGAGUCUAUUACUGAUUUCAAUGGAUUCUUCAAGCUAUUUGUUGAAAUGCCUGACAGAAAAAAUGAAUGCUAUUUAAAUAUUGCUGGGGCUUAGUCAGUGGAUGGUAAACUAUCAGGUUCAUGGAGACUAUAAUUCUAGUGUAUAAUUACAACUUAGCAGCAUCAUUUUUGCAUUUUUGUAAUUUUCUUUUUUCAGAAAGAAUAUUGAUUCUUCCAUUUAGUUGAUCAAGAAUCAUGUGAAUUAAUUAUCAAUGCAUGCGUGUUUAUCAGCACAUGUUAUUAAUUAAUAGAAUGGCAUAAUGAAAGCAAAAAGGAUAAGAUAUAGCAUAAGUCUAAUUAAGAUGACUCAAAAAAUCAGAAGCAGCAGCACAUGCUUGAUUUUCAAAAGCUAAUUAAGAAUCAAAUCCAGUAGGGAAGAAUAAGAGAAUAACAACCAAAAGAAAAAAAUAUUGAAUCAGAGAGGCCUGGCUACAACUCCCUUUUUAGUUUGUAUUUUGCUAGUUACUGAAUUUAAUUUUACAGAGCAUGUGCCGCCACUGUUUAUUUGCUUUCAUGGUAACAUCUAUAUGUAAUAAGUCAAAACCUUUGAAAAACUUUCCGCGGCUAUACAAGGACUACGGACUUUGAAGCUUUGUCCAAUUUUUGUUUUCCUUAUUGAAUUUCUUAGUUGAUAUAUGGGGACUGCGGACUCUGCUAUCAAAUUGAAGAGUAAAGUAGCACAUGCUGCAACUGCAAGAGAAUUUAAUAACAAUGUUCAUUAUCUGAGAGUGCACAACGAGGUCGAAACUAAGGUAACUAACAUAUAACUACUUAAAUCUCGAACUAGUUUUCUUUUAUUUUCUGUUUGGAUUCUAUUUACUGCAUAUUAUUUGAGUCUACAUUCAAAGCCAUGCAUGCUGAGUAUUGGAUCAUUACGAAAAUAAUACUACUAUGUUUAAACUAUAUUUUCUCUUUUUUUUUUUGGUUAAUUUGUAUGCACAUAUAAUUUGACAGUUGAUGAGUUUUCAGUUGAGCUAGCUGAAGGGCUUGCUUUUGUUGCUGUUUCUGAUGAUGAAUCCAAACUCUUCAUAGUAGUUUUACUCUCUUUCAAGGUUUGUGAACAAUUUAUAAUUGGCGAUGGUUGAUACUUCAAGUAGCAAUUAUUUCAUGCUCAUUGUUUGGCAUUCUUCAUUGUAUUAUAGUUUUUGGUUAAGGAAGUGAAGGAAUUGAAAAGAAUAGUGAAGCUCGUUCUUGGAAACUCAAUUGCUAAUUUUCAUUUACUUUCAAGCCUUUUUUUUCAAUUUGUUUUUCACUUUCUAAUGUAUAGAAACUAACCAUAACAGGGUUUUGUAACUGAUAGACUAGAUUAUCGCAAGCACAUAGAUCUUUUAAUGGCAGUGUUGCAUUUUUCGACCUCUCUAAACUUGUAUACGGACUAAUGUCCAAAUUUAUAGGUUAGUAAAUACUUGCUAAAUUUAGAAUCCAACUCUUGCUGUUGACUCCAAAUAUUAGCAUACUUGCUUAUUGUUACAAAAUAUUGCUCUAAUGAUUAUUAUCCAUUGCUCCAGUAUCAUAUUUUGUUAGGCUUCUUAACCAUAUUUUGGUUAUAAUACUUAUGCUUAGCUUUAUACAAAGUGAUUGUUCGAAUAUAGCAUAUUAUUAUACUAGUUACUGAUUUGAUAAUUUACUGAUUAAUAUUUCUUCAUUCAUCUAGGAUAUUAUUUGGUCUACUAAUGAUGAUGUGGGGAUGGAGCAGAUUAAUAUUUCUUGAUUUAUAUAGGAUGGAUAUUAUUUGGUCGAAUGAAGAUGAUGAUGGGAAUUGAGAAGAUGAGGUAGAAGCGAACGCAAGUCUCAAGAGACUGAAGAAGACGUGUUGGAGGAUGAUUGAAAUAAUUCAAGCUAUGAGUAUGAGAUCAUACUGCAUAUACAUUUGGGAUUUUUUUUUUCAAAAUAUACUAUUGAAAUUGAUUGUGUUGUA
rnacentral:lncRNA from 1 species